UUGUGAUUGUGAUGCGUGCGUGAGAGAGAGAGAGAGAGAGAGACAAGGUCUAUUGUUAUUGCCGCCAACACCAGACAACUUGGACUAGAACCUUUGAUUCACUGCUGGUUCCUCAUGGCAAGAACCUUGGCCCAAGCAGGCCGGGCCAUGAUGUCGGCCGCCCAAGCGCUCACCUUGGGGCGAGCAUCGAACAGCUUCUUCAA